rnacentral:rRNA from 1 species
AGAGUUUGAUCAUGGCUCAGAUUGAACGCUGGCGGCAGGCCUAACACAUGCAAGUCGAACGGUAACAGAAAGCAGCUUGCUGCUUUGCUGACGAGUGGCGGACGGGUGAGUAAUGUCUGGGAAACUGCCUGAUGGAGGGGGAUAACUACUGGAAACGGUAGCUAAUACCGCAUAACGUCGCAAGACCAAAGAGGGGGACCUUCGGGCCUCUUGCCAUCGGAUGUGCCCAGAUGGGAUUAGCUAGUAGGUGGGGUAAAGGCUCACCUAGGCGACGAUCCCUAGCUGGUCUGAGAGGAUGACCAGCCACACUGGAACUGAGACACGGUCCAGACUCCUACGGGAGGCAGCAGUGGGGAAUAUUGCACAAUGGGCGCAAGCCUGAUGCAGCCAUGCCGCGUGUAUGAAGAAGGCCUUCGGGUUGUAAAGUACUUUUCAGCGGGGAGGAAGGGAGUAAAGUUAAUACCUUUGCUCAUUGACGUUACCCGCAGAAGAAGCACCGGCUAACUCCGUGCCAGCAGCCGCGGUAAUACGGAGGGUGCAAGCGUUAAUCGGAAUUACUGGGCGUAAAGCGCACGCAGGCGGUUUGUUAAGUCAGAUGUGAAAUCCCCGGGCUCAACCUGGGAACUGCAUCUGAUACUGGCAAGCUCGAGUCUCGUAGAGGGGGGUAGAAUUCCAGGUGUAGCGGUGAAAUGCGUAUAGAUCUGGAGGAUACCGGUGGCGAAGCGGCCCCCUGGACAAAACUGACGCUCAGUGCGAAAGCGUGGGGAGCAAACAGGAUAAUACCCUGUAGUCACGCCGUA